GCUCACUUGUGUACAUAUAUUUUUCACAUGUGAUCACAUGAAGACAACAUGUCACCACAUGUUGCAACAUAAGAGCACAUGUGGCACAUGUGGAUCACAUGUGGAAAAUGUUUCCUUGUGUUAUAAUAGGUUAUCACAUGUGGAAAAUGUUUCCAUGUAUUAAAAUAGGUUUUCACAUGUGGAUCAUAUGUUAGCUACAUGUAACAAAUACUGUGCAUUUUCAGCUUCACACUGUAUGUUGACUUCUAGUUUGUUCCUAUUUCCUGCUUCCCAUUGUAGUCCCUUGUAGCUUUCUUUAUUUGUUGUAAUGUAGGCUACUGUAGUUGCAAAGUUACUUUGGCUAUAUAAGCUAGUUAGUAAAAUAAAAGUAAAAUAAAAUAAAGUUCAUACUACUGAUAUAUGAUUUAUCAAUUAUACGUUACAUACCACUUAUGAUUAAUAUGUGCUCAUUUGAUACACCUUGUUAUUAGCUUGUACCUGUAAUUGUUGAUCAUCAGGUAGCAUAAUAACUAAUACAUACACACACACACACACACGAUAUAUUUAUAUAUAUUGUAAUAUGUAUUAUAUAUGCUUCACCUAAUUUUUUUUAUUGAGGAACAACAUUACAAAACAAUUAAAUUAAAAUUAAUAUUAUUAACAUUACAAUAAUAUCAUUAAUAAAUUCGUCUUCUUCUUCUUCUUAACAUUAUUAAUAAUAAUAAUAAUCACAAGACGCAAAAUAUAGAUACAUAAUAUUUUACAAUAGAUGUACCUUUAACAUUUUUCACAACCCCUAAAAAAAAUAUAAAUAUUUAUAAAUAUAAAUAAAUAAAUAAAAAAUAAAUAAAAUUAAAAUUAAAAACAGCUCAUUACAGAAAGGAUUUUGAAUUUGCGAGCAUGGUGAUGACGUUAUUUCCUCUCAUCCAACGGCUGCUGCUGACAGCUACAAUGAUGCCGGGGAAGAAAUGAUCGGAAAUAAAACAUCCAUUCGAGACGGUGUAUUUAAAAAUGAAGUGGGAGUUCUGCGCGAGCUCAUCAUUCGAACUAUAACGGUCAUCUAGCACUGUACGCUGAGGAAAAGGGAUAAGCAUUUCAACAGAGCCACAUCACCGAAUGGCAUUACACACUGUCCUUCCUGUGUGUUUGGCUUUUUCAGAACCUGCACGGACAAGUCUGAUGAGUGGAGAUGUUGCUGUGGCCCUCUUUACAGACGAUACAAAUUUCAUUACCAACCUGUGAAAAUCUCAUGUCAUUAUGGAAAUGUGACUCAAGUUGUUAUAGCUCUAAAUACAACACAGUUACAAAAGAGAUGAAUAAAUAUUGUGUUAAUUGUACUUAAUAGUGCCUCUCGUGUACUUUCA